UGGGUUGUUAACCAGUUUACUACAACAGUCGAAUCACACUCAAUUUCCACAUGCUGGAAACCCAUCUCUUUGCAUGGCUCUACCCUAGUCAUGACAGCACGCAAUUCCAUUUCAUUAUUUCUACCAUAGCCAUAUGGAGCAUAGAAGCCAGCAACCAAAUUACCAUAAUGAUCCCUGAUUACUCCCCCACCUCCACAAAGUCCUGUAUUACCAAGACAAUUUCCAUCAACAUUGAGUUUUAUCCAACCAGUAGCAAGUCUCCUCCAAGAAACUAUGAGGGUUGGUUUACUCGUCUUCGAACACAUAGGCAAUUCUAAGGAUUUGAGAAGUUCAUGAUCUAUUUUACUUAGUUUUGAGACUUUACCUAUUUUUUCAGCUAGGAGACGCAGCGAAACCUUUAUUGUAAGCCAAACCUCCUCCGCAGAUUCUCGAAUCCUUUCCAUACGUGCCUUGCAUCGACGUCCCCAUAGUUUCCAUAAUAGCCCAAUUAAAAUUCCAUGCCGUGAGACAUAUUUUGCACAUGUAAACCAUCUAUUGACUCUUGUCCACUAGGAUUGUGUCUCCAUGUAGUGCACACCCAAGGCCAACGAUGCCCACUUCCAAACUGCCUUAGCAAUAUCCCUAGAGUUGAGUACAUGAUCAAGAGUUUCCACUUGACCCUUCUCACAACAAUCACAACGUGAAGCUAGAGCAACUCUUGUUGAUCUCACCCUAAUAACCACACUUAAACAGUUGAACUUCGCCUUCCACAUGAAAACAAAAAAAAAUUUUGGUAGAAUUUUAUGCCAUAUCCAUUUCAUCCAAGGAAUCUGUGGACGCCUCACCCUUACAAUGUCCCAGGCACUUGAAGUAGAGAAAUCUCCAUCAUCGUUCGGCUUCCAUAUGAUCAUAUCACUUCUUUUCUGGCCCUAAUGGUUUGUGUAAUUUCUACUGCCUUUACCUCCCUAGCUACCUCUUUAAGAUAAGUGAAAUCGUAGCCAUCUUCAAUCCAGCAAUCUCUAACCUGCAGUCUUGGAUUGGUAACCCUGAAAACAUGCUCGCUUAAUGGGCCACUCGCUAACCAGCGAUCAUACCAAAAGGAAACUGACCUUCUUUAAUCCUCCAUUUUGAGUUCUCAUAUACCUGAGGUAGAACCUUUACGAUUGAUUUCCAUAGGCUAGAUCCACUGAUAUUAGAGUUUAGUAAAA
rnacentral:lncRNA from 1 species